GGCUCGGCCCUGCGCGAAAAAUCCUUGUGAACCCCGUCAGGUCCGGAAGGAAGCAGCGGUAGCAAGACGGUUUCUGCGACGCAGGUUCCCCGAGCCUCC
rnacentral:SRP_RNA from 1 species